GAUGAACGCUGGCGGCGUGCCUAAUACAUGCAAGUCGAGCGAACGGACGAGAAGCUUGCUUUUCUGAUGUUAGCGGCGGACGGGUGAGUAACACGUGGAUAACCUACCUAUAAGACUGGGAUAACUUCGGGAAACCGGAGCUAAUACCGGAUAAUAUUUUGAACCGCAUGGUUCAAAAGUGAAAGACGGUCUUGCUGUCACUUAUAGAUGGAUCCGCGCUGCAUUAGCUAGUUGGUAAGGUAACGGCUUACCAAGGCAACGAUGCAUAGCCGACCUGAGGGGGUGAUCGGCCACACGGGAACGGAGACACGGUCCAGACGCCUACGGGAGGCAGCAGUAGGGAAUCGGCCGCAAUGGGCGAAAGCCUGACGGAGCAACGCCGCGUGAGUGAUGAAGGUCUUCGGAUCGUAAAACUCUGUUAUUAGGGAAGAACAUAUGUGUAAGUAACUGUGCACAGCUUGACGGUACCGAAUCAGAAAGCCACGGCUAACUACGUG
rnacentral:rRNA from 1 species